GAUGAACGCUGACAGAAUGCUUAACACAUGCAAGUCUUUGGCGAAGCUGUGCUCGCACAGCCUAGCCAAGGCGGACGGGUGAGUAACGCGUAAGGAACUUGCCCUGCAGUCAGGGAUAACAGACGGAAACGACUGAUAAGACCUGGUAAAGUCAGGCGGACUCAUGUCCAGCCUGAUGAAAAGAGAUGCUGCAGGAGAGCCUUGCGUCCUAUUAGCUUGUUGGUGGGGUAACGGCCCACCAAGGCGAUGAUAGGUAGCCGGCCUGAGAGGGUGGACGGCCAAAAGGGGACUGAGAGACGGCACUUACUCCUACGGGAGGCAGCAGUGGGGAAUAUUGGACAAUGGGGGCAACCCUGAUCCAGCAAUUCUGUGUGCACGAUGAAGGUUUUCGGAUUGUAAAGUGCUUUCAGCAGGGAAGAAAAAAAUGACGGUACCUGCAGAAGAAGCGACGGCUAAAUACGUG
rnacentral:rRNA from 1 species